rnacentral:rRNA from 1 species
AUUGAACGCUGGCGGCAGGCUUAACACAUGCAAGUCGAGCGGGGUGAUGGUGCUUGCACUAUCACUUAGCGGCGGACGGGUGAGUAAUGCUUAGGAAUCUGCCUAUUAGUGGGGGACAACAUCUCGAAAGGGAUGCUAAUACCGCAUACGUCCUACGGGAGAAAGCAGGGGAUCACUUGUGACCUUGCGCUAAUAGAUGAGCCUAAGUCGGAAUAGCUAGUUGGUGGGGUAAAGGCCCACCAAGGCUACGAUCUGUAGCGGGUCUGAGAGGAUGAUCCGCCACACUGGGACUGAGACACGGCCCAGCCUCCUACGGGAGACAGCAGUGGGGAAUAUUGGACAAUGGGGGGAACCCUGAUCCAGCCAUGCCGCGUGUGUGAAGAAGGCCUUAUGGUUGUAAAGCACUUUAAGCGAGGAGGAGGCUCUUUUGGUUAAUACCCAAGAUGAGUGGACGUUACUCGCAGAAUAAGCACCGGCUAACUCUGUGCCAGCCGCCGCCGUAA